UGAUUGGAUUUUUAGGAUUGAAAUGUUUGAGUCUGAAAAAUGGGGUGCAUAUUAGCUCUUUGUUUUUUCCUCUUCUCAUGCUUAGACCCAUAUUUGUUUAGAUAUGCUACCAUAUUCAGGCUAAGUGCAAUUUUUCCGUUCCUUAUGCCAGCCUUGACCCUGUCUCCAAUUAUAGCAAUAUUAACAAAGUUAGAGGAUACGUUGCCUAUCAUGUGCUUGUAGAACAAAUGUUAUAGACUACUUAUAAACAUGGUCACC
rnacentral:lncRNA from 1 species